rnacentral:rRNA from 1 species
UCCCUACGGGACGCAGCAGUGAGGAAUAUUGGUCAAUGGGCUUACGCCUGAACCAGCCAAGUCGCGUGAGGGAAGACUGCCCUAUGGGUUGUAAACCUCUUUUGUCAGGGAGCAAUUGGCGCUACGUGUAGCGUUAUCGAGAGUACCUGAAGAAAAAGCAUCGGCUAACUCCGUGCCAGCAGCCGCGGUAAUACGGAGGAUGCGAGCGUUAUCCGGAUUUAUUGGGUUUAAAGGGUGCGUAGGAGGAAUGAGAAGUAAGCGGUAAAAUCGCGGGGCUCAACUUUGCU